rnacentral:rRNA from 1 species
GACGAACGCUGGCGGCGUGCCUAAUACAUGCAAGUUGAGCGCUGAAGGUUGGUCCUUGUACCAACUGGAUGAGCAGCGAACGGGUGAGUAACGCGUGGGGAAUCUGCCUUUGAGCGGGGGACAACAUUUGGAAACGAAUGCUAAUACCGCAUAAAAACUUUAAACACAAGUUUUAAGUUUGAAAGACGCAAUUGCAUCACUCAAAGAUGAUCCCGCGUUGUAUUAGCUAGUUGGUGAGGUAAAGGCUCACCAAGGCGAUGAUACAUAGCCGACCUGAGAGGGUGAUCGGCCAAACUGGGACUGAGACACGGCCCAAAAUCCUACGGGAGGCAGCAGUAGGGAAUCCUUGGCGAAGGAAGAAAGUCGGAACGAGAGACGCCGCGUGAGUGAAGGAGGUUUUCGGAUCGUAAAACUCUGGUGGUAGAGAAGAACGUUGGUGAGAGUGGAAAGCGCAUAAAGUGACGGUAACUACACAGAAAGGGACGGCUAACUACGUG